rnacentral:rRNA from 2 species
CAUAUCAAUAAGCGGAGGG